AGAGCCUGAUGUCUGAGGGGUAAUAAAUAUUCCUGAACCUGAGGGUCCUGUACCUCCUUCCUGAUGGCAGCAGUGAGUGCUGGGGGUCCCUGAGAUGGAUGUUGUUUCCUGCGACAACGCUCCAUAAAGAUUCUGCCAUUCAACUACAAUAGGGAUAACAUAGAGUGGCAACAUUUACAAACCUGUGGGAUAGGAGAGGAAACUGAAGCUCCUGCGCAAAACCUAUGAAAUCACAGUGACAAUGAGCAAUUCUACACCAAGGUCAUCAGAAGUCAGGAACGAACCAGUCACUGGAGCUUGAAGACAGCAACUUUACUACUGUUCUAUGGUGCAACCCAUCUGUAGCCAUCUCAUUAAGGGGAGGCAGGAAGGAGAUGCUGAGGAAGGUGGACGUGCGCUGCACUGCUCGGUCGACCAUCGGGGGUGGUCCCAGGUGCGAGGACGUGGAGGUCGGAGGAAAGUGACGAGGGGUCAAAUGGUUCGAUGGUUGAGCUCCAAUGAUGUGCACUAAACUGACCGAACUUUGAUAAGUUGGCGCCUUUUACUUUUUCUUUUCUUUCAUAUAUACUGUAUUGCAUAGAACUCUU